rnacentral:rRNA from 1 species
GGAAUCUUCCACAAUGGACGAAGUACUGAUGGAGCAACGCCGCGUGAGUGAAGAAGGUUUUCGGAUCGUAAAGCUCUGUUGUUGGUGAAGAAGGAUAGAGGCAGUAACUGGUCUUUAUUUGACGGUAAUCAACCAGAAAGUCACGGCUAACUACGUGCCA